AAACUGCGAUAAGCAAUGCGAACCGCAGUGUCUCGUGAGUCAUCCGGUAUUCGAACGCACAUGGCAGGUCCUCGGACCUACGUCUGGUUGAGGGUCAUAUGGACUACUCAAGGAGUGAGGUGGCCUGGCAGGCGCUAGGCUGAAAGGCAUGGCAUGCGCUGCUUGGUGGACGAUCAGGUGGCGCGGCAUUGGCUGCACGCGGUGCGGGCAUACAUGCGUGACCUCAACUCAGGCGAGACGACCCGCUGAACUUAA
rnacentral:misc_RNA from 1 species